rnacentral:rRNA from 1 species
GUGAAAGUGGCGGACGAGCGAGUAACACGUAAGUAGUUGCCCUGUACUCGGGGAUAACUGGUCGAAAGAUCAGCUAAUACCGGAUGGUCUCGAAAGAGUAAAGAUUUAUCGGUACAGGAGACGCUUGCGGCCUAUCAGCUAGUUGGUAAGGUAAAGGCUUACCAAGGCUAUGACGGGUAUCUGGUGUGAGAGCACGACCAGACGCGAUGGGACUGAGACACGGCCCAUACUCC